rnacentral:RNase_P_RNA from 1 species
GGAGCAGAUCGGAUAGCUGCUCUGUGCGAGUUCUCGUACGGAGAGGAAAGUCCGGGCUCCAGAUAGCAGCGUAGCGGGUAAUACCCGUCCGCCGAGAGGCGAGGAUAACCCCAUUGGGGUCGUUUUCUUAGGAAAAUGAGAGCCACAGAGACGAGUCUUCCCUUAACAGGGAAGGGUGAAACGCGGUAAUCUCUGCGCGGAGCAAGACCAAAUAGGGAGGGAAUCAGAAAAAUCCGUACAUGCGGAUGGACUGGUGCGGAGCGGCUAGUUCCGCUAUGACCUCCGGGUAGGUCGCAUGAGGCUGUCAGUAAUGGCAGUCCCAGAUGGAUAGCUAUCAGGCGCAUGCGCCUACAGAACCCGGCUUAUAGAUCUGCUUCAUUU